rnacentral:rRNA from 1 species
GACGAACGCUGGCGGCGUGCCUAAUACAUGCAAGUCGAGCGAAGUUUUUCUGGUGCUUGCACUAGAAAAACUUAGCGGCGAACGGGUGAGUAACACGUAAAGAACCUGCCUCAUAGACUGGGACAACUAUUGGAAACGAUAGCUAAUACCGGAUAACAGUAUUUCUCGCAUGAGAGAUAUUUAAAAGUUGGUUAUGCUAACACUAUGAGAUGGCUUUGCGGUGCAUUAGCUAGUUGGUGGGGUAAAGGCCCACCAAGGCGACGAUGCAUAGCCGACCUGAGAGGGUGAUCGGCCACACUGGGACUGAGACACGGCCCAGACUCCUACGGGAGGCAGCAGUAGGGAAUCUUCCGCAAUGGGCGAAAGCCUGACGGAGCAACGCCGCGUGAGUGAAGAAGGAUUUCGGUUCGUAAAGCUCUGUUGUUAGGGAAGGAUGGAUAUGUAGUAACUAUACAUGUAAGAGACGGCACCUAACCAGAAAGCCACGGCUAACUACGUG